rnacentral:lncRNA from 1 species
AUGUGAUGAAUAUGUCACCCAGUUGGAUGAGAUGCAGAGACAGUUAGCAGCUGCAGAGGAUGAGAAGAAGACUCUGAACACUUUGUUACGAAUGGCUAUCCAGCAAAAACUCGCCCUGACCCAGAGGCUGGAGGACUUAGAGUUUGACCAUGAGCAGUCCCGACGCAGCAAAGGCAAACUUGGAAAGAGCAAGAUCGGCAGCCCUAAAACAAUUUUCACCUUCCCUUUGUGAUCAGAGCCGUCCCAGGACUUCAGGGGCUUCCUACCUACAGAAUUUAUUAAGAGUUCCCCCUGAUCCCACCUCCACAGAAUCAUUUCUUCUGAAGGGCCCCCCUUCCAUGAGUGAAUUCAUCCAAGGGCACCGGCUCAGCAAGGAAAAAAGGUUAACCGUGGCUCCACCAGGUAAACAUUUUUUCCUUGGGUGCAUGUGAUGCAAAUGAUUAGUUGAAUAGACUCUCCCCUUCCUUCCGGUCACUCAGGCUCACCCAGCUGCAGAGUAUACCUUUGAUGAUGUGUAAAUUCCUAUAAGUCAAGUAAAAACUU